rnacentral:rRNA from 1 species
CAGCAGCCGCGGUAAUACGAAGGGUGCAAGUGUUAAUCGGAAUUACUGGGCGUAAAGCGUGCGUAGGCGGUGAGUUAAGUCUGCUGUGAAAUCCCCGGGCUCAACCUAGGAAUGGCAGUGGAUACUGGCUCGCUAGAGUGUGUCGGAGGACGGUGGAAUUCCCGGUGUAGCGGUGAAAUGCGUAGAGAUCGGGAGGAACAUCAGUGGCGAAGGCGGCCAUCUGGGACAACACUGACGCUGAGGCACGAAAGCGUGGGGAGCAAACAGGAUUAGAUACCCGAGUAGUCCCUGUCUCUUAUAC